rnacentral:pre_miRNA from 1 species
AGCGGACUUGCUGGGUCUUAUGGUAAGUGUACUUUUAGCCUUUUAAGAAAUUGCCAAACUGUUUUCCAAAGUGCCUGUACCAUUUUGCAUUUCCACCAGCAAU